UACGUAGGGGGCAAGCGUUGUCCGGAUUCAUUGGGCGUAAAGAGCGUGUAGGCGGCCAGGUAGGUCGGUUGUGAAAGACUGGAGGCUCAACCUUCAGAGGUCGACCGAAACCAUCUGGCUAGAGUCCGGGAGAGGAGAGUGGAAUUCCUGGUGUAGCGGUGAAAUGCGCAGAUAUCAGGAAGAACACCCGUGGCGAAAGCGGCUCUCUGGAACGGUACUGACGCUGAGACGCGAAAGCGUGGGGGGAGCGAACAGG
rnacentral:rRNA from 1 species